rnacentral:rRNA from 1 species
AAUAGAUACCCAGGUAGUCCACGCCGUAAACUAUGGAUGCUAGCUGUUAGAAGUAUCGACCCUUCUAGUAGCGAAGCUAACGCGUUAAGCAUCCCGCCUGUGGAGUACGAGCGCAAGCUUAAAACAUAAAGGAAUUGACGGGGACCCGCACAAGCGGUGGAGCGUGCUGUUUAAUUCGAUGAUAAGCGAAGAACCUUACCCAGGCUUGACAUCCUUGGAAUUUUGCCGAAAGGCGAGAGUGCUUUUAGAGCCAAGUGACAGGUGAUGCAUGGCCGUCGUCAGCUCGUGUCGUGAGAUGUUUGGUUAAGUCCAUCAACGAGCGCAACCCUUGUAGUUAGUUGUAUUUUUCUAGCUAGACUGCCCUGGUAACAGGGAGGAAGGAGGGGAUGAUGUCAGGUCAGUAUUUCCCUUACGUCUGGGGCUACAAACACGCUACAAUGGCCGGUACAAAGCGCAGCCAACCCGCGAGGGGGAGCAAAUCGCAUCAAAGCCGGUCUCAGUUCGGAUUGCAGGCUGAAACCCG